rnacentral:lncRNA from 1 species
CCCGAAACACCCCUAUCUGAUUGGUAAUCAUGCACCUAAUUUAUAUGAUCAAAGAAAUGCGGAAAACAUAAUAAUUCAGAAACAUGGUCAUAAAUAUGAAAAGAGACAAUAACGGGGAGAUAAGGUUCCCUCAACAUCAAUUAUCCUCUGAACAACUGUCUGCGAAAAUCUCUAACAAUUGACUGAAACAAUGUCUAUCUGAAAACUGGGACAAGGCCCC